CUGGUAGCGUGCAGGCAGCUGGGCUGAGGAAGGUUCUGGAAAUAAUUCUGCAGGAGUCUCUGAGCCCAGGAGGAAGCCGACUCUCUACUCCCUCCAGCAGGACUUGGAUGACAGAAUCCAAGGUUUUCAGGACUGGAAGAAGCCCUGACAACCCUCUCGGGCUGAGAAGAGUGCAGUCAUGUAGCAGGAGGGUGAAGAGGACAGCGAGCCAGGGUGGUCUCCACAAAGCACCGCCUGUGAAGGGGCUGGCACAGAAGACAGAGUAUGCUGACCUGGGCCCCACUGGUUUCUUGGAACAACUGCUCUGUACUCUUUGGGCAAGAUGGAGAAGCCAGGGCUGAGUCUACCGACAGGCCCCUGUCUAGAAGGAAAACAUCAACAACCAAAAUUACAGUUAGGAAGAACUGCUUCCAUCUGCAAGUA